rnacentral:rRNA from 1 species
CUUGGUCAUUUAGAGGAAGUAAAAGUCGUAACAAGGUCUCCGUUGGUGAACCAGCGGAGGGAUCAUUAAAAAGAGAGUUUAACAACUCCUCAACCCUUGUGAAUAUACCUAAAUCGUUGCUUCGGCGGGCAGCCCCAGGGCGGGGCCGCAGCCUGCCUAGCAGGUGCCCGCCGAAAGCGCCACAAACUCUUGUUUUAUAGUAUCUCUGAGUCUAAACACAAAUAAGUUAAAACUUUCAACAACGGAUCUCUUGGCUUUGGCAUCGAUGAAGAACGCAGCGAAAUGCGAUAAGUAAUGUGAAUUGCAGAAUUCAGUGAAUCAUCGAAUCUUUGAACGCACAUUGCGCCCAUUAGCACUCUAGUGGGCAUGCCUGUUCGAGCGUCAUUUCAACCCUCAGGCCCUCGGCUGCCUGGCGUUGGGGCACCUACGGCGUACGUAGGCCCCGAAAAACAGUGGCGGUGCUCGCCAGCACUCCGGGCGCAGUAGUUUCCUUCUCGCCUAGGACGUCUGGUGAUCUAUCAGCCGUUAAACCACCAAUUUUAACAAAGGUUGACCUCGAAUCAGGUAGGAAUACCCGCUGAACUUAAGCAUAUCAAUAAGCGGAGGA